rnacentral:rRNA from 1 species
GACGAACGCUGGCGGCGUGCUUAACACAUGCAAGUCGAACGGAAAGGCCCUGCUUUUGUGGGGUGCUCGAGUGGCGAACGGGUGAGUAACACGUGAGUAACCUGCCCUUGACUUUGGGAUAACUUCAGGAAACUGGGGCUAAUACCGGAUAGGAGCUCCUGCUGCAUGGUGGGGGUUGGAAAGUUUCGGCGGUUGGGGCUGGACUCGCGGCUUAUCAGCUUGUUGGUGGGGUAGUGGCUUACCAAGGCUUUGACGGGUAGCCGGCCUGAGAGGGUGACCGGCCACAUUGGGACUGAGAUACGGCCCAGACUCCUACGGGAGGCAGCAGUGGGGAAUAGUGCACAAUGGGCGGAAGCCUGAUGCAGCAACGCCGCGUGCGGGAUGACGGCCUUCGGGUUGUAAACCGCGUUCGCCUGUGACGAAGCGUGAGUGACGGUAAUGGGUAAAGAAGCACCGGCUAACUACGUG